AGGAUAUGGGCACGCCUCUGAGAACUCAGGGGAUAAAAGCAGAGAACUGCCAGGAGAAAGUUCUCUUGGUUCCAGUUAGUGAAGAGUCCAGACCUGCCCUGCCCAGCUGCGGGCUGGGCGGGGGAGGGGAAGCCAUGUGGCCGGGAUGAGUUUUGUUGAGGCAUUGCCACUCAUCUGGGAGACCCUCCCUUCAAAAUGACUUCUGGAGUCCCAGAGAAGAGCUCGACACCUCAUCUUUUGUCCAGGAAAGACUGACGUCUUUUACUUUUCCUCAGGUGGUGAAGGUCUCCAUGGGGAGCUCCCCUUACUUCUAGCUCAAGUGCUCCAGCAAUGUGUUCCGUGUCGUGCCGCCGGGCGCGUCUGCCCCUGUGCGCAUCCGCUUCAGCCCCGGCGAGAACAAGGAUUAUUCCCAUGAACUCAUCUGUGUCACUGAAAGGGAAAGGAUAGUUGUGCCAAUUCGGGCCAUUGGUGCCCGAGCUAUCCUGGACUUCCCUGCCCAGCUGGACUUCUCCAAGUGUCCGGUCAAGUGCAGCAUCCAGAAGACUCUGCUGGUCUGCAAUGUCGGUAACCAGGCAGCUUGUUACCAGCUGAGCAGCCAGAGUCCUUUCUCCAUGUCACCAGCCAUAGGAAUUCUGGACGCUGGUGACACCAUGCAGGUGACAGUGGGAUUUCACCCGCUGACCACGGGUGACCACUGUGGGUCCCUGGCAGUGUGCUGCAGCACAGGUGAAGAAAAUAUCCACACAAACCUCCGCGGAGAUGCUGUAGAAGUCAAUGCUGGGUUGAGCACAAAUUCCGUGGAGCUUGAGAAGACUUUCAUCACCAUGUCAAGCCACAAAACCAUGUUCAUUGAAAACAGGAGUAACAUCACAGCCCACUUGCAGUGGAAGGCUUUUCCUACUGAGGAAGGAGAGAUCGAAGAGAAGAGGAGGUUGGUGUGAAAGAUGCAUUUCAGUGCGAUCCAUGGCCCAAGACUGAAACUGAUGCGUGGCCUGAGGGGGGUGUUGGUGCUUCUGAAUGGUUUAGGCCAAGUAAACCAUGCCUGGCACUGGG